GCUCAUCACAUCCUGGGGCUGAAGUAGGUCCCAAGGGUAUGGCUGUUCGCCAUUUAAAGUGGUACGCGAGCUGGGUUUAGAACGUCGUGAGACAGUUCGGUCCCUAUCUGCCGUGGGCGCUGGAGAACUGAGGGGGGCUGCUCCUAGUACGAGAGGACCGGAGUGGACGCAUCACUGGUGUUCGGGUUGUCAUGCCAAUGGCACUGCCCGGUAGCUAAAUGCGGAAGAGAUAAGUGCUGAAAGCAUCUAAGCACGAAACUUGCCCCGAGAUGAGUUCUCCCUGACCCUUUAAGGGUCCUGAAGGAACGUUGAAGACGACGACGUUGAUAGGCCGGGUGUGUAAGCGCAGCGAUGCGUUGAGCUAACCGGUACUAAUGAACCGUGAGGCUUAACCUUACAACGCCGAAGGUGUUU
rnacentral:rRNA from 1 species